rnacentral:rRNA from 1 species
CCCCAGACUCCUACGGGAGGCAGCAGUGGGGAAUAUUGGGCAAUGGGCGCAAGCCUGACCCAGCAACGCCGCGUGAAGGAAGAAGGCCCUCGGGUUGUAAACUUCUUUUCUAUAGGACGAAGAAGUGACGGUACUAUAGGAAUAAGCCACGGCUAACUACGUGCCGGCAGCCGCGGUAAUGCGUAGGUGGCGAGCGUUAUCCGGAUUUACUGGGUGUAAAGGGCGUGUAGGCGGGAGAGCAAGUCAGAUGUGAAAACUACAGGCUUAACCUGUAGCCUGCAUUUGAAACUGUUCUUCUUGAGUGAUGGAGAGGCAGGCGGAAUUCCUAGUGUAGCGGUGAAAUGCGUAGAUAUCAGGAGGAACACCGGCGGCGAAGGCGGCCUGCUGGACCGCGACUGACGUUGAGGCUCGAAAGCGUGGGGAGCGAACAGGAUUAGAUACCCUUGUAU